rnacentral:misc_RNA from 1 species
AAAGUCGUAACAAGGUUUCCGUAGGUGAACCUGCGGAAGGAUCAUUAUCGUGGGGCUCCGGCCCCGUCGAGAUAACACCCUUGCCUUUAUGAGUACCUUGGUUCCCUCCCCCGACCCCCGGGGAGCGGGAGGGGCCUCGUCCGUUUCCCCGCGAGGGGACCGCAAAACACGCUGUAAUCACCUGUAAACGUCUGAUACAACAAGCAAAAAGUCAAAACUUUCAACAACGGAUCUCUUGGUUCUG